GAUGAACGCUAGCGGCAGGCCUAAUACAUGCAAGUCGAACGGUGUCUUCGGACAUAGUGGCGCACGGGUGCGUAACACGUAUGCAACCUACCUUACAUUGGGGGAUAGCCUUUCGAAAGGGAGAUUAAUACCGCAUAAGACAGUAGCUGGGCAUCCAGCAGCUGUUAAAGAUUUAUCGAUGUAAGCUGGGCAUGCGUCCAAUUAGCUAGUUGGUGAGGUAACGGCUCACCAAGGCAAUGAUUGGUAGGGGAACUGAGAGGUCAAUCCCCCACACUGGCACUGAGAUACAGGCCAGACUCCUACGGGAGGCAGCAGUAGGGAAUAUUGGGCAAUGGACGCAAGUCUGACCCAGCCAUGCCGCGUGCAGGAUGAAGGCGUUAUGCGUUGUAAACUGCUGUUAUACAGGAAGAAACGACUCUUGCGAGAGGCAUUGACGGUACUGUAUGAAUAAGCACCGGCUAACUCCGUGCCAGCAGCCGCCGUAAAAC
rnacentral:rRNA from 1 species